CACGUAGGGGGCGAGCGUUGUCCGGAUUUAUUGGGCGUAAAGAGCUCGUAGGCGGCUCAGUAAGUCGGGUGUGAAAUUUCAGGGCUCAACCCUGAAACGCCACCCGAUACUGCUGUGGCUAGAGUCCGGUAGGGGAGCGUGGAGUUCCUGGUGUAGCGGUGAAAUGCGCAGAUAUCAGGAGGAACACCAGCGGCGAAGGCGGCGCUCUGGGCCGGAACUGACGCUGAGGAGCGAAAGCAUGGGUAGCGAACAGG
rnacentral:rRNA from 1 species